AGGGGGGUACACAGUGCACGGGGAAGUCGGGUUGUUAACGGGUUGGUAACGUAAUUAUGUAAGAUUUAUGUCGGAUUUUCACAUUCAGAUUUUCCGACGUUGGAUCCGACAGAAAUCCAGAAAUCAGGCCAAAUCAAUGGCGCCCGCCCAUUGUUUUCCCGCGGAUCCCGUCAGCCUUCCGAUACGUGCCCGAUAGAUGUCGGAAAUGUGUCGGUUUUCACGCACCGACUGGAGGUCACUUGAGGUCAUGAUAGGCGUCAGGCCCCGAUUAACAGGAUAAUGUUCGUCAAUACCGUCAAAGUUUGAGGAUGGAGAUGUGCUGUCACGGAAGAACCGAUUUAUCUUAAAUUGUCUAUUGAUUUAUCCGUUUUGUUCCCGUUGAGUUUGAUUUCGUGUUCAUUUGUUUCACUGUUUUUCUCAAAAGUUCGUUUUGUCUCUUAAACACUAACUCUCUAAUACUAACACUAAUCCUGGAACUAACACGUUUCGAAAGUUAACAUGAACUCAGCCAAAGACAGUUUACACAGACUAUAGUUUAUUAACAAGAUAUGGAUAUUAUCACUUGAUAAAAAAGACAAAGUCAAGCAUUUGCCGGACCGUAAUAGUACAAGACAGAUCAAAGGAUCAACCAGACAACCACGUGCACUAUCGGAACAAUCUUUCAGAAUCAUCGUAGUUUAAAAUACUGUGCGUCGAAAUGGGUCCAUGAAAUCCAUGAAGAUAUUUUGACGCAAGAGGAUGACAUAAGUGCUUUUAUAAAAGAAUACGAUCGUAUAUGUGUCAUCAGUAACGGCCACGAAAUGCGCUUCAAGUUUCUGCAGACGUUCCGGUUCUUCCGCUAGUAGACCGUCCCGUAAUCUUCCGCAAUACUAGUACGUCGUGCAAUCUUCCACAGAAGUUAGGAUACGUAAAGUUAAAAAAACUUCUGGACGUCCCGAAAUCAUCCGCAGAAAUUGUAUGGAAGACGCCACAAGGUUUCCGCAAGAGAUACGUUGUACAUGUACAUAAAUUCUUACCGCGGUUACCGCGGCCGUGCGAUUAACAACAGCUCACAGAACUGUGACUUACUUAGUUGGAGUUAUUUACCCACAUAAAGAUAUGGUUGUAAAGCAGUGCAAAAAGUUAGCAAUAAAAUCCGAUGUUACAAAAA